rnacentral:rRNA from 1 species
CAGUAGCCGCGGUAAAACGGAGGGUGCAAGCGUUAUCCGGAUUUAUUGGGUUUAAAGGGUCCGUAGGCGGAUCUGUAAGUCAGUGGUGAAAUCUCACAGCUUAACUGUGAAACUGCCAUUGAUACUGCAGGUCUUGAGUAAAUUUGAAGUGGCUGGAAUAAGUAGUGUAGCGGUGAAAUGCAUAGAUAUUACUUAGAACACCAAUUGCGAAGGCAGGUCACUAAGAUUUAACUGACGCUGAUGGACGAAAGCGUGGGGAGCGAACAGGAUUAGAUACCCCUGUAGUCCCUGUCUCUUAUAU